rnacentral:rRNA from 1 species
GGGAUAACAGGCUGAUACCGCCCAAGAGUUCAUAUCGACGGCGGUGUUUGGCACCUCGAUGUCGGCUCAUCACAUCCUGGGGCUGAAGUAGGUCCCAAGGGUACGGCUGUUCGCCGUUUAAAGUGGUACGCGAGCUGGGUUUAGAACGUCGUGAGACAGUUCGGUCCCUAUCUGCCAUGGGCGUAGGAAAAUUGAGAGGGUUUGCUUCUAGUACGAGAGGACCGAAGUGAACGCACCGCUGGUGUUCGGGUUGUGAUGCCAAUUGCAUUGCCCGGUAGCUACGUGCGGAAUAGAUAAGUGCUGAAAGCAUCUAAGUACGAAACUAGCCUCGAGAUGAGUUUUCCCUGAUGAGAAUCAGUAAGGUCCGUUUGAGACUAAGACGUAGAUAGGUCAGGUGUGUAAGUGUAGUGAUACAUUGAGCUAACUGAUACUAAUGAACCGAGAGUCUUAACCUUACAACUC